rnacentral:tRNA from 1 species
GCAAAUAUAGUUUAACAAAAACAUUAGAUUGUGAAUCUAAACUUAGGAGUUCAAAUCUCUUUAUGUGCC